rnacentral:rRNA from 1 species
GGAAAGGCGCGCGAUACAGGGUGACAGCCCCGUACACAAAAAUGCACAUGCUGUGAGCUCGAUGAGUAGGGCGGGACACGUGGUAUCCUGUCUGAAUAUGGGGGGACCAUCCUCCAAGGCUAAAUACUCCUGACUGACCGAUAGUGAACCAGUACCGUGAGGGAAAGGCGAAAAGAACCCCGGCGAGGGGAGUGAAAAAGAACCUGAAACCGUGUACGUACAAGCAGUGGGAGCACGCUUAGGCGUGUGACUGCGUACCUUUUGUAUAAUGGGUCAGCGACUUAUAUUCUGUAGCAAGGUUAACCGAAUAGGGGAGCCGAAGGGAAACCGAGUCUUAACUGGGCGUUAAGUUGCAGGGUAUAGACCCGAAACCCGGUGAUCUAGCCAUGGGCAGGUUGAAGGUUGGGUAACACUAACUGGAGGACCGAACCGACUAAUGUUGAAAAAUUAGCGGAUGACUUGUGGCUGGGGGUGAAAGGCCAAUCAAACCGGGAGAUAGCUGGUUCUCCCCGAAAGCUAUUUAGGUAGCGCCUCGUGAAUUCAUCUCCGGGGGUAGAGCACUGUUUCGGCAAGGGGGUCAUCCCGACUUACCAACCCGAUGCAAACUGCGAAUACCGGAGAAUGUUAUCACGGGAGACACACGGCGGGUGCUAACGUCCGUCGUGAAGAGGGAAACAACCCAGACCGCCAGCUAAGGUCCCAAAGUCAUGGUUAAGUGGGAAACGAUGUGGGAAGGCCCAGACAGCCAGGAUGUUGGCUUAGAAGCAGCCAUCAUUUAAAGAAAGCGUAAUAGCUCACUGGUCGAGUCGGCCUGCGCGGAAGAUGUAACGGGGCUAAACCAUGCACCGAAGCUGCGGCAGCGACGCUUAUGCGUUGUUGGGUAGGGGAGCGUUCUGUAAGCCUGUGAAGGUGUGCUGUGAGGCAUGCUGGAGGUAUCAGAAGUGCGAAUGCUGACAUAAGUAACGAUAAAGCGGGUGAAAAGCCCGCUCGCCGGAAGACCAAGGGUUCCUGUCCAACGUUAAUCGGGGCAGGGUGAGUCGACCCCUAAGGCGAGGCCGAAAGGCGUAGUCGAUGGGAAACAGGUUAAUAUUCCUGUACUUGGUGUUACUGCGAAGGGGGGACGGAGAAGGCUAUGUUGGCCGGGCGACGGUUGUCCCGGUUUAAGCGUGUAGGCUGGUUUUCCAGGCAAAUCCGGAAAAUCAAGGCUGAGGCGUGAUGACGAGGCACUACGGUGCUGAAGCAACAAAUGCCCUGCUUCCAGGAAAAGCCUCUAAGCAUCAGGUAACAUCAAAUCGUACCCCAAACCGACACAGGUGGUCAGGUAGAGAAUACCAAGGCGCUUGAGAGAACUCGGGUGAAGGAACUAGGCAAAAUGGUGCCGUAACUUCGGGAGAAGGCACGCUGAUAUGUAGGUGAAGUCCCUCGCGGAUGGAGCUGAAAUCAGUCGAAGAUACCAGCUGGCUGCAACUGUUUAUUAAAAACACAGCACUGUGCAAACACGAAAGUGGACGUAUACGGUGUGACGCCUGCCCGGUGCCGGAAGGUUAAUUGAUGGGGUCAGCGCAAGCGAAGCUCUUGAUCGAAGCCCCGGUAAACGGCGGCCGUAACUAUAACGGUCCUAAGGUAGCGAAAUUCCUUGUCGGGUAAGUUCCGACCUGCACGAAUGGCGUAAUGAUGGCCAGGCUGUCUCCACCCGAGACUCAGUGAAAUUGAACUCGCUGUGAAGAUGCAGUGUACCCGCGGCAAGACGGAAAGACCCCGUGAACCUUUACUAUAGCUUGACACUGAACAUUGAGCCUUGAUG